CCAUCUCAAAAAAAAAAUUACUUAUAUUCAUGUCCCUAUUUUCUAGGUAAAUGUUUUAAUAAAACAAGGCUUUAAUAAAACAAGCUGCUUCUGGUUUUCCAAAUGCCUCUCUAAUUGUUCAUUACAUUCUAUGAUUUCUUUGCAUGAGAAUUAGUCACUGGCCUAUCUUUCCAUUAUUAUGCCAUGUGCUGAUUCUUCCUAAUAAACUGGGUACUUUGGUGUUGAAUCACUGGAUUUUAUUCAGGUUUCCAUUUCUAAAUGAAAACCAAAAUGUGAAUUUAUUCCAUGUCCUUAUGCUUUUAAGAAAGAAAGAGCCCUCAUAUUGACAAUUAGAAUCUCAGUAACAGUGACUUUGCUUCCAAAGAUACACUUGUAAACUGUGAAAGAACAUGUCAAGUACAUUGUCACUUUAAAGGCCAUUACAAUUUCUGUUUACUUUCCUGUAUCAAAUUUUCUCUAAAUAUACAUUUGAUCUGCUCAUUGUAGAAUUAAGAAAACCCACAUUUUUCCUGAUUAUCUUAAUCUCUGAUUACUGAGGUAUGAUUGCCACCACAGAGAAAAAGCUCUACUAAAAAGAUAUACUUUUUUUCCAAAAGCAAACAAGAAAAUUUUCAACCUAUGUGUACAAAUAACUUGAAUGUACUCCAUUUUAAAUUUUGACUUUGGAAUCACAUAAAUGUUUUAUAUAAUUAAACAUAAUUGCAUCAGUAAAGUGAAAAUAGCUAAAAAAAAAAAAAAAAAUUAGUUAAAACUAAUGAACCCAACUAUAUAUUGGUAGUAAAAGCACAGAAUUAUCUCAAGAUUUAAAAUAUAGUAUACUUACUAAACAUGAUGGAUUAUAUCCUAAGAAAAAAACUGCAAAGAGCUUUAAACUACAUAAUAAUGCUCUCAUCUUUCAUAACUGAUAUUAGCAUUGGUAGUCUGUUAUUUUUUAUUGUUUGAGAUGGAGUCUCUCUUUGUUGCCCAAGCUGGAGUUCAGUGGUGCAAUCUUGGUUCACUGCAAUGUCCACCUCCUGGGCUCAAGCAAUUUUUGUGCCUCAGCCUCCUGGGUAGCUGGGAUUACAAGCACCUGCCACCAUACCUGGCUAAUUUUUUGUAUUUUUAGUAGAGAUGGGGUUUCACCAUGUUGGCCAGGCUGAUCUCAAACUCAUAACCUCAAGUGAUCCGCCCGCCUUGGCUUCCCAUAGUGCUAGGAUUACAAGCGUGAGCUACCACACCUGGCCAGCAUUGGUAUUUUGAAAUAUAUAUCAACCCCUAUGACAUAUUCUUGUUAAAACUCAAUCUAUUCAAACUUCUAGAUCUAUAAGUGCAGAAAAAAUAUGGAAAUAUGAAUAAUACAGGAUGAUAACACUACAAAAUGCAAUCAGUGAAAUAAAAAUAUAAAAAUCUGUACAGAAAAAAAUGAUCCAAUUUCUUUAACAAAAUGCAUGAGAACAAGUUAUAGAUGACAAGCGACUUAAGAGGCAUAUUAACCAAGUCCAAUGUCUUGCCCUUGUUUAGAUCCUGAUCCGAACAAAUCUACUGUAAAAAGAUAUUCUUGUAACAAUUGGGAAAAAUUAAACAUGGACUAAAUGUUAGAAAAUAUUUGGUAUUUACUGCUAUUAACUUUGUUAGGUGAUAAAAUGUAUUUUGGUUAUUUUUUAAUCCUUGUAUAUUAACAGUACACACUAAAGUGUUUACGGAUGAAGUAGUGCUUAAGAUUUGCUUGAAAAUACAGAUGAAAACGAGAUAAUUUAAACAAGAAUGACAAAUUAUUGACAAUAUUUAAGCUUGGUGAUGAAUAAGUGGGCAUUCAGUAUACUGUUCUCCCUGUUUUUGAAAUUUUCCAUCCUGAAAAGUUUUUAAAAUAAUUUACCCUCUCUAUCUCACUUGUGUCAGUGUGCAGGUACCUACUACAACAUAUGCUCUGCUUCUUACUGAGCACACAACUAGAUAUUCCCAGACUUCCUUCCUUGCAGGUACAUGUAUACAUGUGAUAGUUCUAAACAAUGGAAUGUGCACCAAACAUGAUAAAUGAAGCUUUCAGAGCCGCCCCAUACAGCCCUGUGGGGGAACUCUAUCAUGUUCUUCUCCCUUGCAAGUGAUUGGUAGAACAAUGACUAGAGCAAUCUUGAAAGCCAAGUGUUGAAGAUGACAGAGUGAAGAUAUCCAGAGUAAUCUGAAGGGUCAUGUGGAGCAAAUACCCCUUCAGCCAGCUUUAGCCCUGGACUGUCACAUGAAAAAAAAAAAAAUGGAUUAAGUUUGGAUCACUACAUUUGAGCGUAUUUCUUAGAGAAGUCUGCCUCCUUAACUAAUAAGAAUCAUCUCUUGCCUGAAUCCUGACUGCCUAGCACAGUGUCUGAACAUAGCAGAUGUUAAAAAAUGUGUAAGUAUAAUAAUCCUAAAUCUUUUCCAUCACAUCUGUCAAUAGUGAAUCAUAUCUCCUUCUAUGAGAGAUUAUUCUUCCUCCGUAGCAGAGUUGUUGCUCCUCUGCAUUUACAUAGCUCUUUGGGCUAGCUUGUAUUGCAGUCUUUUCAUUGCAGUUUGGUAAUACCUUCUCCUCUAUCUCCCUGAAGAUAGGAAUAAAUUUUUCUGUACUAUUUUGUAUCCCAUCACCAAUCAGAAUGCCAGGAAUAUAGUAGAUGCUCAAUAAAUGCUAACUAAUAAAUGCCUAUCAUAGAGAAAGCAUAAAAUGGAUAGAUUAAAACAUGAAAAUCUUUGAGUUCUUUGAGUGCAUAUCUUUAAAAAGGAGCAGAGAAGAAAAGUAAGAAUUAUUAGAUUUUUCUUUAAGAGGAUAAGCCAAGAAAUAGGAAUUAGAGAUACAGAAAAUUGUUAGGAAGAAACCUAUGAAAUGAUAUUAUAAGUUCACACAUUCUGAUUCAGUCUUAGUUAAAAUUGUUAUCAAAACCAUAGACAUAAAGUCAAAACAAUAUUUAGCAAGAACUCAAGCUGGGAAGAGAACGUUGAUACAGGUGUUUUGAGUACAUAAAGCAGGGUUAGCCAUUGUCUUAGGAAUAAACUGGAAAAUGUUAAAGAGUACUUACAGAAUAGCUAACAAAUUUUAAAUUAAAGUCAUUUUUAAACUACAUAUUGUCACUGUAAGGUUGUUUUUGCCAAGUCUGUUUACUAAAGGAAAAUUUUUUCCCUGUACUACUCAGAGAUUUGUUUUAAUAGUUGUCUUCCCAAGACUACUCAUCUGGAACCUUGAGACUGCCUACUAUAAUCUGGGAAACCACAUUAAAUGUUUGAGAUAAUUAUAUUUGUUAAUUUAAAGUUAUGGAUCAGGCAUCAGUAACCCCUCCCCCUUUUUUUCUGUAAAGAAUGAGAUAGUAAAUAAUUUAGGCUUUAUAGGUUAUAUAGUCACUCUUUGUCAAAACUACUAAAUUUUUUAUGAAAGCAGCCAUAAGCAAUACAUAAUGAAUGGGUAUGACUAUGUUAAAAUAAGAUUUUAUUUAUGAAAACAGGUGACAGGCCAAAUUUGGCCCAUAUAAUUCAUCAGCCCCCUUUAGACUAAGUUUAUCCUACGAGACUUUUUUUUUUUGACCAAUAUUGUAGCAGUUUAUUUCCUAUAAAUUCACAGAUUGUUUUUUAUAUUUAACUCAAUACUGAAUAACUAUAAACACUGUAAACUCUCCUACUAAAUUGGGAAUGUAUCUAAGGUUUUCUCCUUGCAGGAGAUUUUUGCAAGUAAAAUUCAUGAGUGAUUUUAAUAAAUGGAUUUUAAAUUAGAGUGGAAGAUCUUUUACUUUCAUAAAUUCCAAAACUCUUAUAUAAAUCAAUGGAAGGUGGAAUUUCAAGGAAAGUAGAAAUCUUCCCUGGCAAAUGCCAAAGAAAUUUUGACAGAGAUGAAACUAAAAUAAUUCCAUUAUAUUUUCCCAUAAAAUGAUUACCAGGACAGUAUUAGUAGAGUAAUGUGAACUAUAAAAUUGUAGAGCUCAAGAGGCUAGAAAGAGCUGAUCUGUGGAGAAAUUCAGACUCUGUAUUUCCAAUGUCAUAAAAUAGCUCUCAGCAUUGAAAGGAUUUUUAAAAAUCUUUUAAUUUGGAAUUUUUGUGGGUACAUAGUAGGUGUGUAUGGGGUACAUGAGAUAUUUUGAUACAAGCAUGCAAUGUAAAAUAAUCACAUCAUGGAGAGUAGGGUAUCCAUCCCCUCAAGCAUUUAUCCUUUGUGUUACAAUCUGGUUACACACUUAUCUUUAAAUGUACAGUUAUUAUUGACUACAGUCCCAUUGUUGUGCUAUCCAAUAGCAGGUCUUAAUUAAUUUUUUUUUGUUCCCAUUAGCCAUCCCCACCUGCCUCCCUGCGCCCAACUACCCUUUCCAGCCUCUGAUAACCAUCCUUCUAUUCUCUAUGUCCGUGAGUUCAAUUGUUUAGAUCUCACAAGUAAGUGAGAACAUGUGAUGUUCGUCUUUCUGUGCCUUAUUUCAUUAACAUAGUGAUCUCCAGUUCUAUCCACAUUGAUGCAAAUGACUGGAUCUCAUUCUUUUUUAUGAUUGAAUAGUACUCCAUUGUGUAUAUGUUCCACAUUUUCUUUAUCCAUUCCUCUGUUGAUAGACACUUAUGUUGAUUCCAAAUCUUAGCUGUUGUGAACAGUACUGCAACAAGCAUGAAAGUGCAGAUAUUUCUUUGAUAUACUGAUUUCCUUCUUUUGGAUACAUACCCGACAGUAGGAUUGCUGGAUCAGAUGGUAGCUCUAUUAUUAGUUUUUUGAGAAACCUCCAAACUGUUCUCCAGAGUGGCUGUACUAAUUUACAUUCCCAUCAACAGUAUACAAGGGUUCCCUUUUCUCUAAAUUCUCACCAAAUGUUAUUGCCUGUCCUUUGUGUAUACGCUAUUUUAACUGGGGUGAAAUGAUAUCUCAUUGUAGUUUUGAUUUGCAUUUCUCUGAUCAAUUAUGUUGAGUACCUUUUCAUAUGCCUGUUUGCCAUUUGUGUGUCAUCUUCUGAUAAAUGUUUAUUCAAAUCAUUUGCCGAGUUUUUGACUGGAUUAUUAGAUUUUUUUUCCUGUAGAGUUGUUUGAGCUCCUUAAAAGGAAUUAUUUCUUAAAAGUAAAAACAAAAUAAAUCUCAUGUAAAAGUGAGAUACUCAUAAAAAGUAUCAUAAAAUUGAUUUAUUUUCCAAAAAGUCCAAUUAAUGUCUUAAAAUAUGAAAUGUUGAAACAGAGACCAAGGAUGCUAACAUCUUAUGAUGAAAAUAAGGGCCCAGGUGAGGUACAUGAGAAUAAAUUCAGAGAACUGACAGCGUUUAAUUGAUGAAGAAGCACCUACAUUGAAUUCAGAAGAGCAUAUGAGCUAAUCAGUAUACAGAAGAUAUGUGAAAAUGAUGUUGCAGUAUUGAGGGAACUUAGCUGACUUUUGUCUUAUUCUCAGACAAAGGAAACUUAGAGGAGUUUUUGUUGUUGUUGUUUUAUUUAAUAAUUCCAUUUAAGAAGAAAUUGGUUCCUCUCUGGCUAGCAAAUACUUUUUGGUUCUCACCUGGAGAGGUAACUUACAGAUUAUUUUAUUCUCCACUAAUCAUCACUCUUCCCCAAGGUCCAGCUGAGUGAUUACAAUUGGCUUGAAAAAUCAGUAUCUUGUUUGUGGAGAGAAAUGUACAUGUAUAUGUUUUCUGUUUCUUCUAUCAGUUUCCUCUGGCUGCUAUAGCAAAUUACCACAAACUUAAUGGCUUAAAACAACACAUCUUUAUGUUCUUAAAGUUCUAGAUAUCAGACGUCUGAGAUCAGUUUUAAUGAGAAAAAAAUCAAGAUGUUGGCAGCAUCGUGCUCUUUCUAGAGGGUCUGGGGAGAAGCUGUUCCUCACCUUCUCUAGCUGGCAUUCCUGGGCUUGUGGCUAUAUCACUUCAAUCUCUGUCUUUGUGGUCGUAUCACCUUCUCUUCUGUGUGAAGUUGAUAGGGACUGAAUUGUGUCCUCCAAAAUUCAUGUGUUGAAGCCCUAAUUCUGAAUACCUCAAAUGUGACUGCACAGUAGUCUCCCCUUUUCAAUGGUUUCACUUUCUGUGUGGUCAACCAUAGUCUAAAAAUAUUAAAUGGAAAUUUCCAGAAAUAAAUAAUUCAUAAGUUUUAAAUUCUGAGCCAUUCUGAGUAGUCUGAUGAAAUUUUGCUCUCCUGCUCUGUUCCACCAUGUCCAGCACAGGAUGUGAAUGAUCCCAUUGUCCAGCAUAUCUGUACUAUAAACUCUCCUUGACAGUCACUUAGCAGAUACCUUGGUUAUUAGAUUUUUAAAAUUUUGGUGUAUAUAAGGCUCUGUACUCUCCGAGGUUUCAGGCAUCCACUGGGGGUGUUGGAAUGCAUCCCCUGUGGAUAAGGAGAAACUAUUAUAUUUGGAGACUGGGCCUCUAAAGAGAUGAUUAAGUUAAAAUGAUACCAUUAGAGUGGGCCAUAAUCCAAUCUGUCUGGUAUCCUGAUAAGAAGAGGAGAUUUUGACCCACAGAGAGACCCAGGUAUGCAUGCAAAUAGAGAAGGAACAUAUGAAGACAGAACCUGCUGACACCUUGAUCUUGGAAUUUCAGCUUCCAAAAUUGUGAGAAAAUAAAUUUCUGUUGUUUAUGC
rnacentral:lncRNA from 1 species